UACGUAGGGUGCGAGCGUUGUCCGGAAUUAUUGGGCGUAAAGGGCUCGUAGGCGGUCUGUCGCGUCGGGAGUGAAAACUCAGGGCUUAACCCUGAGCCUGCUUCCGAUACGGGCAGACUAGAGGUAUGCAGGGGAGAACGGAAUUCCUGGUGUAGCGGUGGAAUGCGCAGAUAUCAGGAGGAACACCGGUGGCGAAGGCGGCUACCUGGACCGGAACUGACGCUGAGGCGCGAAAGCGUGGGUAGCAAACAGG
rnacentral:rRNA from 1 species